UACGUAGGGACCGAGCGUUGUCCGGAUUCAUUGGGCGUAAAGAGCUCGUAGGCGGUCUGUCGCGUCGGAUGUGAAAAUCCAGGGCUCAACCCGUGGACCUGCAUUCGAUACGGGCAGACUAGAGUUCGGUAGGGGAGACUGGAAUUCCUGGUGUAGCGGUGAAAUGCGCAGAUAUCAGGAGGAACACCGGUGGCGAAGGCGGGUCUCUGGGCCGAUACUGACGCUGAGGAGCGAAAGCGUGGGGAGCGAACAGG
rnacentral:rRNA from 1 species